rnacentral:rRNA from 1 species
GNNNGGCUAUACAUGCAGUCGAGCGAGCAAUUUUAACGGAAGGCCUUCGGGCUGGAAGCUAAAAGCGCGAGCGGCGGAUGGGUGAGUAACACGUGGGCAACCUGCCCUUUAGCUUGGGAUACCACUUGGAAACAGGUGCUAAUACCAAAUAAGAAGCAAGAGCGCAUGCUCAAGCUAUGAAAGGCGGCUUUCGAGCUGUCACUAAAGGAUGGGCCCGCGGUGCAUUAGCUAGUUGGUAAGGUAACGGCUUACCAAGGCAAUGAUGCAUAGCCGAGUUGAGAGACUGAUCGGCCACAUUGGGACUGAGACACGGCCCAAACUCCUACGGGAGGCAGCAGUAGGGAAUCUUCCACAAUGGACGCAAGUCUGAUGGAGCAACGCCGCGUGAGUGAAGAAGGUUUUCGGAUCGUAAAGCUCUGUUGUUGGUGAAGAAGGAUGUGAAUAGUAACUGAUUCAUAUUUGACGGUAAUCAACCAGAAAGUCACGGCUAACUACGUGCCAGCAGCCGCGGUAAUACGUAGGUGGCAAGCGUUGUCCGGAUUUAUUGGGCGUAAAGCGAACGCAGGCGGGAGAACAAGUCAGCUGUGAAAGCCCUCGGCUUAACCGGGGAAGUGCAGCUGAAACUGUUUUUCUUGAGUGCAGAAGAGGAGAGUGGAACUCCAUGUGUAGCGGUGGAAUGCGUAGAUAUAUGGAAGAACACCAGUGGCGAAGGCGGCUCUCUGGUCUGUAACUGACGCUGAGGUUCGAAAGCAUGGGUAGCGAACAGGAUUAGAUACCCUGGUAGUCCAUGCCGUAAACGAUGAGUGCUAAGUGUUGGGAGGUUUCCGCCUCUCAGUGCUGCAGCUAACGCAUUAAGCACUCCGCCUGGGGAGUACGACCGCAAGGUUAAAACUCAAAGGAAUUGACGGGGGCCCGCACAAGCGGUGGAGCAUGUGGUUUAAUUCGAAGCAACGCGAAGAACCUUACCAGGUCUUGACAUCUAGUGCCAGUCCUAGAGAUAGGAUGUUCCCUUCGGGGACACUAAGACAGGUGGGUGCAUGGGUUGGUCGUCAGCUUCGGUGGUCGUGGAGAUGUUUGGGGUUAAGUCCCGCCAACGGGGCGGCAACCCUUAUUAUUAGUUUGGCCAGNCAUUUUAANU